rnacentral:rRNA from 1 species
UACAGAGGUCUCAAGCGUUGUUCGGAUUCAUUGGGCGUAAAGGGUGCGUAGGCGGCGCGGUAAGUCGGGUGUGAAAUCUCGGAGCUUAACUCCGAAACUGCAUUUGAUACUGGCGUGCUUGAGGACUGGAGAGGAGACUGGAAUUCACGGUGUAGCAGUGAAAAUGCGUAGAUAUCGUGAGGAAGACCAGUGGCGAAAGGCGGGUCUCUGGACAGUUACUGAACGCUGA